rnacentral:misc_RNA from 1 species
GAUGAAGAACGUAGCGAAAUGCGAAAAGUAGUGUGAAUUGCAGAAUUCAGUGAAUCAUCGAAUCUUUGAACGCACAUUGCGCCCCUUGGUAUUCCAUGGGGCAUGCCUGUUCGAGCGUCAUUUGUACCUUCAAGCUCUGCUUGGUGUUGGGUGUUUGUCUCGCCUCUGCGUGUAGACUCGCCUCAAAAUAAUUGGCAGCCGGCGUAUUGAUUUCGGAGCGCAGUACAUCUCGCGCUUUGCACUCAUAACGACGACGUCCAAAAGUACAUUUUUACACUCUUGACCUCGGAUCAGGUAGGGAUACCCGCUGAACUUAAGCAUAUCAAUAAGCGGAGGA